GAUGAACGCUAGCUACAGGCUUAACACAUGCAAGUCGAGGGGAAACGAUAUUGAAAGCUUGCUUUCGAUAGGCGUCGACCGGCGCACGGGUGAGUAACGCGUAUCCAACCUGCCUGGAAAUAGGGAAUAAUCCGUGGAAACGCGGCCUAAUGUCCUAUGUGCUCCGAAGAGGACAUCUGAUUUGGAGUAAAGAUUCAUCGUUUCCGGAUGGGGAUGCGUCUGAUUAGCUUGCUGGCGGGGUAACGGCCCACCAGGGCGACGAUCAGUAGGGGUUCUGAGAGGAAGGUCCCCCCACAUUGGAACUGAGACACGGUCCAAACUCCUACGGGAGGCAGCAGUGAGGAAUAUUGGUCAAUGGACGAGAGUCUGAACCAGCCAAGUAGCGUGCAGGACGACGGCCCUAUGGGUUGUAAACUGCUUUUAUGCGGGAUAAAGUGCGCCACGCGUGGUGUAUUGCAGGUCCGNAAGAUAAGGACCGGCUAAUUCCGUGCCAGCAGCCG
rnacentral:rRNA from 1 species